rnacentral:lncRNA from 1 species
GUUUAAAAAUACUGCCACAUCAGUUGAAAAUGAAAGUGAAGAGGCUCAUCUGGGGGAAGGUUUUGGAGUCAAAUAGGUUGAGAAAUGAAACCUGAUUUUUAGCUAUUGGUGUUGCUGAGACUGUCCUCUGGAAUAUUAUUAAAUUGUUUAUGCUGCUCCAUAAAAAUUUUUUGUGUAAGUGGUUAUAUGUAGACAUUUUUGAAUCUUCUUCCUUGCAGGUUUUUCUCCAAAACAAACAGAAGGCUUUUUUGCCUCCUAGUUACAGAAGUAGUGCUUACUGAACAAAUGUAAAACACAGAGAAGCCUCGAGAAGAAAGUAAAAAUCUGUUAUAUUCGUACUACUCAAAGGUGACAUCUGCACACAUUUUGGUAUACAUAGUGUAAGUUUUUUUUAUAAGAUAUUACUGCUUAAUGUUUCUGCCAUAACUUCAGAAUUUGAUGAAAUUAGGUGAGUAAAGCUGAAAUUCUGUUCAUACAUUAAGCUUGUAUGUCUGAACCUGAAAUACAAGAAACUUAGAAUUUAGGGGAUAGAGAGGGAAGUUACCGAAAUAGAAAUACACAGUUUUGGAAAUUUGGCUGUCUCACUCUAGUUAUCUGCUCAUCUUUUUUGUUGUCUAUUCUCCUCUUUUCAGCUAUGUAAGUUUUAAAAAACUAAGACAUUUCAAAUUUGAAGUGUUUUUCUAUAGUAAUCGACUAAAAUAGAGUAAGAUGUGGGGAGGUAGAACCUAAACUGAGGGAGGUCAAAAACCAUAUGGAAAUAGAAAAUCCAAAACCUCUUGCAGAAUGAAGCUAGGAAGAAUGGAAUCUAAACACUGAAAUUAUACAUCUGGGAGGCAGCUGUGCGUUCUUUGUUCAUAGGUUCUGCUGCAGAAAUAGCAAAAGAAACUUUGAAAGGGAAAUGUAUCCUAAAUAGACUAAGCUAACUAUGAUAUGGACAUUUUUAAUGUUACAAUGUGUAUUAAGUCAUCUUUAAAUGAAUUGUUCCUUAAGUAGUAAUAAAAAUACUUUCCCAAAAAUAGCAGAUCACUUUGGGGGGUUAAAUUUGAGUUUCCUAUUUAUAUCGUCAGCACUGAAUCAGCAUUUUAUUAAAUUACAGAUCAAGGGAUUUUCAGUGACACUAAAAGAGUGUGAUACUGUUGUGAAUUUGUUGGUUGCUUUCGUUUUUGUUAGUAUUCAGGGAUGUGUGGUAGUUUAAUGUUCUGCCCUUCAAAAAUCAACUCUUACGAACUUGUUUAGACAAAACAUUUAAUUUUUAAAAUCAUCGGGCAGUUAAAAACAGUUGAAAUUUGAAAAGGGAAGACGUAAAAAAGCUUUUGUUUAGUUUUGAAAUGUUUAUAAUUACUAACAUCUGAAUGGCUUUAUAGUUUACAAACCACUUUUUAGCAUCCAGUUAAUCGCUGAUGAAUUUGUCUUGCUGACGUUUUUAUCUCUUGAAAAUUAAGACAGAGCACUCAAGUUGGUGGUUAUAGAAUGCUCUUUAGUUUUUACUUUCUAUAAGAGUGAUGUGUAGUCAAGGAUUUAGAAAUCACGGAAGACUAGAACAAGAAGGAAUCAUAUCUCCAACAUCUCAUAAUAGCCAUUGUUGACAUUUGGUAUAAUUCUCAGCCUUGUUUUUCUGUUCAUAUUUUUUGCAUAGUUUGCCCUGAUACUGGAGGAUAUAAUACUUGUAUCCUUUAAACAUUUAUUUGUAUGUUAAUUUUUUCUAAUAAAAACAUAGUUCUUAACCAUUUGAGGGGGGGUUAUUGUUUCAGUGGAAUUUUUUUCUACUUG